AUUGAACGCUGGCGGCAGGCCUAACACAUGCAAGUCGAACGGUAACAGGAAGCAGGUUGCUGCUUUGCGGGGGGGUGGCGGGCGUGAGAGUUAGGUCUGGGAAACUGCGCGGGGGAGGGGGAUAAGUACUGGGAACGGUAGCUGAUACCGCAUAACGUCGCAAGACCAGGGAGGGGGACAUUACAGCCUCUCACCAGCGGCUAGGCCGGAUUAGCUAGUUGGUGGGGUAAGGGCAAACCUAGGCGACGAUCCGUAACUGGUCUGAGAGGAUGAGCAGCCACACUGGAACUGAGACACGGUCCAGACUCCUACGGGAGGCAGCAGUGGGGAAUAUUGGACAAUGGGCGAAAGCCUGAUGCAGCCAUGCCGCGUGUAUGAAGAAGGUCUUCGGGUUGUAAAGCACUUUCAGCGGGGAGGAAGGGCAGUAAGUUAAUACCUUUCCUCAUUGACGUUACCAGCAGAAGAAGCACCGGCUAACUCCGUG
rnacentral:rRNA from 1 species